rnacentral:rRNA from 1 species
ACGAACGCUGGCGGCAGGCCUAACACAUGCAAGUCGAGCGCGCCUUUCGGGGCGAGCGGCGGACGGGUGAGUAACGCGUGGGAAUAUGCCCUUCUCUACGGAAUAGUCCCGGGAAACUGGGGGUAAUACCGUAUACGCCCUUUGGGGGAAAGAUUUAUCGGGGAAGGAUUAGCCCGCGUUGGAUUAGGUAGUUGGUGGGGUAAUGGCCCACCAAGCCGACGAUCCAUAGCUGGUUUGAGAGGAUGAUCAGCCACACUGGGACUGAGACACGGCCCAGACUCCUACGGGAGGCAGCAGUGGGGAAUCUUAGACAAUGGGGGCAACCCUGAUCUAGCCAUGCCGCGUGAGUGAUGAAGGCCUUAGGGUUGUAAAGCUCUUUCAGCUGGGAAGAUAAUGACGGUACCAGCAGAAGAAGUCCCGGCUAACUCCGU